UUGAACUACUACUUAGAUUUUACAUUUAUUUUCAGGGUUCCCAGGCGUGAUUGGCUGUAUAGAUGGCACUCACAUUCCAAUCAUUGCCCCUUCAGUAAAUGAAGGAGACUAUGUGAACAGGAAGUCUUUCCACAGCAUUAAUGUACAGAUCAUAUGUGAUGCUGCCAACAUUAUCACAAAUGUGGAAGCCAAGUGGCCAGGCUCUGUUCAUGACUCACAAAUUUUUCGUGAAUGUACACUGAGCACAAAAUUUGGACAUGGAGAGUUCACUGGCUACUUGCUUGGUGAUAGGGGGUAUCCAUGUUUACCCUAUUUGCUUACCCCUUACCCUGACGCUGACCCGGGCCCACAGCAGCGAUAUAAUCUGGCUCAUUGCAGGACAAGAGCCAGAGUUGAAAUGACUAUCGGAAUGCUUAAGGCCCGGUUCCAGUGCCUUCAAAGACUCAGGGUCACCCCAGA